GGUGUUCGACGCAAAGACCAGACGAAGUUCGGUCCUGACUACGGGUCCAUCUAUGGCACAAGGAUUUUGGGAAACUGGGGCUGACGAACUCCUAGAGCCGCUAGAAGAGGAGAUAUCGGAAGAUAUUUUGGAUCAAAUAGAAGCCACAAAAAUCUCAAAAAAAAUCAAGAAAAACAGUAAACAAGCUCUCAAGGAAGCUAAAUGAACAGAAUACGAAGAAGAAAGAACAGAAAAAUAGCAAGAAGUUUCAGAACUAACCUAGGUUGGCCCGACGCGUGCAGGAAGAUGGCAAGGAUGAUGGAAGUCGACCUGGAGGAUGCCUA
rnacentral:lncRNA from 1 species